CAGUAGCCGCGGGAAUACGUAGGGUGCAAGCGUUAAUCGGAAUUACUGGGCGCAAAGCGUGCGCAGGCGGUUCGUUAAGACAGAUGUGAAAUCCCCGGGCUUAACCUGGGAACUGCAUUUGCGACUGGCGGGCUAGAGUAUGGCAGAGGGGGGUAGAAUUCCACGUGUAGCAGUGAAAUGCGUAGAGAUGUGGAGGAAUACCGAUGGCGAAGGCAGCCCCCUGGGCCUAUACUGACGCCCAUGCACGAAAGCGUGGGGAGCAAACAGGAUUAGAUACCCCUGUAGUCCCUGUCUCUUAUAC
rnacentral:rRNA from 1 species